CGGCCCCGCCCCCGUGGCCCCGCCCCUACUCGAGGCCAGGGCUGCAAAUGAGGCCUGUUUGAAGGGAAGGCCGCAAGCACCGCCGGCCCUUUCCCCUUGCCUUCUGCCUGGAGGGAAGAGGGCAGCCCUGGGCUCAAUGGCUGCCGGGCCAAGAGAACCGGGGCCCUGGACUCAUCGGAUCCAUUUACUGCUGAAACAAUCUUGUCUAGUUGGAAAAUGCUCCUCCAAAUCCUGGUUUUCUUCUGGUUUUUGACUGCAGUCUCCAUUCUGAUUAAUGACUGAUCCAAGUUUGGAGAAGAGUAUGGGAGAAUGAAGUGAUCUUAGCUGGCACUUGAAGACACUGGCUUUCUAAGACUGGGCUAAAUGGGUUUCUGGAAUGCUUUCCUUUCACAGAUGCAGAGAAGGGUAUGGGAGAGUGAAGUUAUCUUAGUUGGCACUUGAAGACACUGGCUGAUUCCUAAGGCUGGGGUAAAUGGAAAUGCUGAUUGAAUGUGAGGCUGAUUUUACAUAGUUUGCAUAAAAAUGAGUGGCAUACAAAGAUAUUCCCAUUAUUAUCUGAAAUCAGUCACUGUAUGCUAUUCUCCCUCCUAGCUGGGCACUGAAUCAGAAGCCUGGAUAGGCUGACUUCUGAUCCUCCGCUGACCCAGGCCAAGCUCAUAGUCUAUGGUCCUCUCCCACAAUAGAGAUGUUUUAUAACUAAUAAUAAUAAUAAUACAAAUAACAAGUUUAAAAUUUGAUAUUUUUUUCAAUAUAGGAGCUGUAUGAAUUAGCUUAGUAUACAAGUACUAUUAGUGAAAGACUUUAGAUAGGAGUAAAAUGUUGAGAGGUGAGGAAUAAAGGUAAUUUAAUAAUUUAAAGUAUCUGGAAUGUUUAACUCAUUGAUUCUACAAGCUAUAGUUUGCCUUGGGAUUUCAAACUUUAAACAUUAGAUUAUUUUCUGAAAAUGUUUUGCACUUCAAAAUAGAGACAACUAUUUCAGCUAGUGGAAAUAAAAUAUAAAAAGACCAAAGGCACAUCUAGUUCAGUAAACUAAUUAUCACAAUGACCAACCCAGAUGCCUAUAGUAAGUCCACAAGCAGGGUGUGAAUAUCACGGCAUUUUCUCAUCACAUAUAGUAAUUCUGCUGAUAACUGCAGGUAACAUAGCCACUGAUGGUACUAUCACCUAUUAAAAGUAUUAAGAUUUUAUUUGAUUAUAACAGUCAUUGGCUGAGAUCCUACACUGCCCAGCACAGCAUCAGAGCUUUCUAAAAAGCAUUAUGCAGUGUUUACCUCCCUACCACUUCCAGAGUUCAUACUUUUCUUGUGAAAGUCUGCUCUGAAUGGCCAUUCUAUGGAUAGAGGAAAGGUGGUGGUGGUUGGAGGGGGAUCAGAAAGAUCAUUAUGUGACUGGUGGACAGUGGGUAGGGGGUCUCCCUUCGUUUGAUAUCAUCCAUCUGUACCUGGCUAUGGUGUACAGCCAGGGAUUGCUCCAAUCUUUGUGUUUUUUGUCAGCCAGAGAAAAGCUACUCAAAGGGGUUAUUGCAUAAAUCGAGUCCUAGAGAACUAGUCACUGCAAAACAUGGGAGAGAAAAUGAAUCUCUGCAAUGAUACUCCCCCACCCAACACUCAUAUGCAUGCCUAAUUGACCAAACAUUAGAUAGUAACAGGAUAAUAGCAAUUGAGUGAACAAUAGAACAUAUUUCAUGACAUAUGUGGCAUCAUUUUUCUAAUUAUUGUUUACAGAUCCUCUUCUUUAUCACUAAAUUAACAUGCUUUUUAGUAAUCAGAUGCAAGCCAGAUCUACAUCACCUGGCUCUGCUUAUUUACAGUAUCAGAUUAGUGGUAUCUAAAAGUAACAUGUAAUGUACAGUAGAUUCUCAGUUAACUGAAAAUUGAGCAACCAAAACUCUCAAGCAACCAGCAAAAAUUUGAACAGUACUUUAAAUAAAAAUUAAAAUAAAUGUAUAAUACAGUUAAGCUGUGUUACAUUAAACUAAUUUUGUCUUUAUUUGCUUUUAAUUACUGUGUUCCAAUAUUAUCAAGUCAAUACAAAGUUUAUGCUAUAGUAUAAGUAUGGAAUAUAGUAUUAGUUAGGACUAUUUUUAACAGUAAUUCUCAAGAAACUAGAAACUACAUUUAUCUGGCAGCUACCAAUCCCCAUGGGUGGUGGUUAACCGGGAGUCUACUACUUAGUUUCGGAUUGUAGAGAGUUAUUACUGUAUUUUUACAAGCUCGCACUGAGUUCAAAAAACAAAAGAUAAUAUUUUUCUAUAUACUGAAUGAAUAAAUAACAAUAUAGUGAAGGAAAGACUAGAAGAACAUAUAUUAGUAUUUAUGCUGGAGUAUAGAUGUAAGUGGAUAUUAAAUCAGUAGUGUUCUACAAGGCUUCGCAGAUUUUUAAUAUGCUAAUAAAGAUGUGAAUGUUGGAGAUAUUUUUCAUUUCAUUUGCAUGUUUACACAUAU